ACGUAGGCUGUGCUGAAUGGAGUUGAUGGAAGAUAUGAACCUUCCAUGGAAGAGCCUUGGUGGCGCAGCAGACUAAUGUGCUGUUAACUAGCAUCAGCUGCCUGCAAUUACUGCAAGUUCAAAUCUCACCAGGCUCAAGGUUGACUCAGCCUUCCAUCCUUUCGAGUCAUGUCACCUACCUAAAAAAGCAAAGUAAGAGAGAGAAAAAGAAAAGCAAGUCAGAACAACAAGGAAAAAUCAUCUAUCCAUCGUCUCUUGCCCGCUUCAAUACUUUAAUUGGGCAGAAGAACUAAAAGGGAAGCAGAACCGAAAUCCCACCAGCACUGCAGUCAUGUGGAACUUGAAUUGACAAGCCAUACGACAAGCCAUUUCUAACAGCAGUCGGCAAGCAGAAACCUGAGCAAUGCUCAGCUACAAUACUCUUCAUUCAAAGCAAGAUUUGUGAAGAAGUUAUAUAACAUCGUUAUAAACAGCAAGGCAUGAUCUGAUUAAAGCGAAAAAGAAAAUUGGAAUGAUCUUAAUAGGCGUAGUUCAUCAAGAUGACCAGGGAGCCAAAGAAAACAUAAAAUGUAGUAAAUAAUAA